rnacentral:rRNA from 1 species
ACUCCUACGGGAGGCAGCAGUGGGGAAUAUUGCACAAUGGGCGAAAGCCUGAUGCAGCAACGCCGCGUGAGCGAUGAAGGUCUUCGGAUCGUAAAGCUCUGUCCUCAAGGAAGAUAAUGACGGUACUUGAGGAGGAAGCCCCGGCUAACUACGUGCCAGCAGCCGCGGUAAUACA